UCCUUCGGAUGUCUAGACCCAAUUGAGAAGAGAGGCCAGGAUAUAAUGGAGUUUGGAUGGUGGAUUAUGAAAAGGGCAAGCAUGAUAUACGAGCUCUCCGGUAUGAUAGUCCAUCCAAAUAUCAAAAGGAGUUCUAUGGGGAUGUCCUUUUUGGCUACGCUUCCACGCUGAUUGGUAUGAGUUAGUAAUCUUUUGCAAGACUCGUCCUACCACUAAUAUGAAAUCCAUUGAUUGGCCAUAUUUCAAUGCAAUUGAGUUGCCUUCUGAAGUUCAAUUGUGAUUGGAAUGAGGAAGUCAAUUCUCAAUUUUAUGCCAACCUUUACAUUGACCGGGUCAAUAAGGUGAUGCAUUGGACUCUUCAAGUGAAGC
rnacentral:lncRNA from 1 species